CCCGCUCCGCCGCCGCCGCCGCCGCUAACCGCCAUGCCGAGCGUCAACCUGAGAUUCUCGGCCUCCCUUCGCGGCCCCCACCCGCACAAAUUGAUCCGAUUCCUCGCGAGCGGCGCUACCGCCUCCGCGAUUCCGUCUGCUCGGGGCCGUUCGUCGCCCCUCACGAAACCUAGCGCGAACGCGCGGCCAUCGCCGGCGGCGGCGGCACUGCCGCGCGCGUGGGUCGCGGCGCCGUUGAACGGUCGCUACGGAAGCCUUCGCGGAAGGACCUCGAAUGGCGUCGGACCGUACCUUGUCCGGCGGGCGGGCGGCGGCUGUAAGUGCGUCUCUAGUUCCAGCUCGUCCGGCCUCGAGGGCGGCAAAAGUGAGGGCUUGUUGCGUGAUGAUGAUGGAAAGAGCAGCUCGCAAUCGGAAAGCGGGAAUCAUCGGCCGCCAGCGCCGCCGGUGCAGAAUCAGGAAGAAAAGGCUGAUCAGCUGUUGACGUUGCCGACGAUUUUAACGCUUGCUCGUGUCGCCGCCGUGCCCCUUCUUGUUAGUACCUUUUAUGUGGAUACAAGGUGGGGUACUACAGCUACAACAGGCAUUUUCAUUGCAGCAGCAAUUACGGAUUGGCUCGAUGGAUACCUUGCUCGUAAGAUGGGUUCAGGCUCUGCAUUUGGUGCUUUUCUAGACCCUGUAGCUGAUAAGCUUAUGGUCGCAGCCAUAUUGAUCCUGCUGUGUAGCAGACCUUUGGAAAUUUCUGUGUUUGGACAGCUGCCGUGGCUAAUCACUGCUCCUGCUAUUGCUAUCAUAGGUAGAGAGAUAACUAUGUCUGCUGUGAGAGAAUGGGCUGCCUCUCAAGAUAGUAAGCUUUUAGAGCAAAAAUAUCUCAGGCUGUUGCUGUAAAUAAAUUGGGGAAGUGGAAAACUGCUGCUCAGAUGACAGCACUUACCAUUUUACUGGCUACUCGAGACAGCAGUCUCAGAGGAGCUGAAUCUUUAGUGGCUUCUGGAGUUGUGUUGCUCUACACCUCAGCAGGGCUAGCAUUAUGGUCUCUGGUAGUGUAUAUGAAGAAGAUAUGGAAAGUGUUACUCAAAUAGCAUUCUUAGCCUUCAGAACGCUUUUUUUGGCCAACCUUACCUUUUACUUGUCUGGUGCCUGCACGGUGCUCCUCAGCUAAGGUUUUGAAUGGCGGUAAACUAGACUCUUAACACUGUUCCUCAGUACACUAACUUAGUGAUUUUCUCUCCUUGGAAUUUGUGCAAAGGUCAGUAACAGAUAUCAUCGGCGUUCUUGUUUUCCCUCCUGUAAAUUUGGCGUGUUCACCAGCAUCCUUAUCGCAAAUCCUGGAAAUUCUGCCUAUCAAGGAUGGUGUAAAGGGCCAACAAUUCGAUAUCUUCAUCUUUCGGAAGACCUCUCUCAUGGGGAUGCAUAUAGGGUGUGUGGGGUUCUCCCUUGGGUUUUUCUUUCCCCUGCUAGCAUUUUUUAGUGUUGUCAAAGUUGCUGGUGUCCAGGAUCAUGUUUGAUUAAGCAUUAAUUUGUUGGAUUCACAUUCUUGACUUAAGAAAGUGCUGAAUCAGUUGUUAUAUUGGUUGAAUUUUGUAGCCUUUGAGGGGUAUGUCAACUUUGCGAACAUUGCUAAUCUUAUUCAGGUUUUGCCUGACUGAGGUAUAUACAUGUCCACUUUACAGUCUGCAUUA